rnacentral:siRNA from 1 species
UCCUCAGUAGCUCAGUGGUA